rnacentral:misc_RNA from 1 species
AAGUCGUAACAAGGUCUCCGUAGGUGAACCUGCGGAGGGAUCAUUACCGAGUGGAGGGCCUCCUGGCCCGACCUCCAACCCUUCUGUAUGACCAACUCUGUUGCCUCGGGGGUGACCCGGCCUCAUCGGGGUCGGGGCCCCCGGCGGACCACAACCAAAAACUCUGCAUCGAAGUCGUCUGAGUUAUAAAGUCAAUAUAAUCAAAACUUUCAACAACGGAUCUCUUGGUUCUA